rnacentral:lncRNA from 1 species
CGCGGCAGCCGGCCGAAUCGACCGGCGGCUUGGUUUGUUGCUUUUGCCCACCGGCCGGGAACGACGGACGGACGUAGCUAUCAGACCAGCCUGAUUAGAUUAGCGUUAGCGGGCGUGUCAGACUCGACCGAGCAGGGCGCGCGGCGUCGCCGUCGAUCGCCCGCCGUGGCCCGCCCGGGCGGGCCUGCCCGGGCGGACAGGGCAGGCAGGCAUGCGGGGGCCGGGGAGGACAACGGCGCGACUGUUACUUCCCUCCGCCAAAGGGGCAUGACGACGACGUCGACGUGAGGUCAAGGUUUAUCUAAUCGGGAGGAUCGAGGUGUCACGCUAGCUAGUGCUGGUAUCGAAAUUUUGAUUUGUUUCUUUAACGACGGGUUUGUUCGCAGGGAUGUGAUGAGUUGGGUCAAAGUUAUUUUAUUUUUGCUACCGUUUAUUUUAUGGACUAGGUAGCAUGAAUUGGAUUCAGCAGCGAAUGUUCUCUGUAGAUGCUGGAUGAACGGGUUCGUUAAAUUUGGAUGAACCGGUCAGUCUCAAGUCGAGCACAUGGGGGAGAGAGGAAAUCAUACAUAGCCAUCUCAUCUCCGUCCUUCGAACCAAACAUUGAUAUAUUCACUCCAUCACAUCUAAUCUUUUCAAUCAAACAAAAAACACAACUCAUUCCAUGUAACCAAACAGAAAAAUAGGACCAAUCUAUUAUACAAUCGGAUUCAGUCUAUCCCAUCUUAUCCACGAACUAAACAUAUCCUAAUUUUCUUUUGAACCUGCUAUGGCUACCGGGCUCUAGCUAUUACCAUACUCCUUUCGUCAUAACGCUUUAUUACGCAUACAUGGAUCAUUUUUGGGAAAUAUAUUUGUAACAUGCAA